ACUCCUGCGGCAGGCAGCAGUGGGGAAUUUUGGACAAUGGGCGAAAGCCUGAUCCAGCAAUGCCGCGUGAGUGAAGAAGGCCUUCGGGUUGUAAAGCUCUUUUGUCAGGGAAGAAACGGUGAAAGCUAAUAUCUUUUGCUAAUGACGGUACCUGAAGAAUAAGCACCGGCUAACUACGUGCCAGCAGCCGCGGUAAUACGUAGGGUGCAAGCGUUAAUCGGAAUUACUGGGCGUAAAGCGUGCGCAGGCGGUUUUGUAAGUCUGAUGUGAAAUCCCCGGGCUCAACCUGGGAAUUGCAUUGGAGACUGCAAGGCUAGAAUCUGGCAGAGGGGGGUAGAAUUCCACGUGUAGCAGUGAAAUGCGUAGAUAUGUGGAGGAACACCGAUGGCGAAGGCAGCCCCCUGGGUCAAGAUUGACGCUCAUGCACGAAAGCGUGGGGAGCAAACAGGAUUAGAUACCCCGGUAGUCCC
rnacentral:rRNA from 1 species